UUUUCACAUUUAUUUAACUACUUUAACUAUCUUAAAAUUACAUACAAACUUAUUAAAUAGUACACAUGCUUGACGACAUUAAAAUAUAUUCUCCUACUAAAUAUACAACAAUCACCCAAAAUAAUAAAACACAGGUUGAAUCCUAGUCAUUAUUUAGAAUGAUCAUCUCUUGUGUCCCUUUUGUGGGACAACUAAUCUGCAAAACCACUUUAGAGUCUUCCUAUCUCCUUUGAGUUAAUGAAUUGUGUUAAGACGAAUUUACCCCUGUAUUUUAUUUUGAAUGAAUAAUUAAUAUUUCUAGAAAACAUUU
rnacentral:sRNA from 1 species